rnacentral:SRP_RNA from 1 species
CCGUGCUAGACGGGGAGUCAGCGGUGCCCUGUACCCGCAAUCCGCUAUAGCGGGGUUGAAUUCCCGACUUGAGGUCUUCACCUGUUCGGCGAAACAGGACGUAAGUGAUGGUGAUCUUUGGGUCCUACGCAACGCAAGCUUCCGAACCGGGUCAGGUCUUGACGGAAGCAGCCCUAAGGAAUGUCUGGCGUGUGCCGUAGGGAUACCUGAAGGGAGUUAACUGCGCACUGAGUCCCGGAGAGGAACGGAUCGAGAGUUGGGUGCACGG